rnacentral:rRNA from 1 species
CAACAGGGAUUGCCUUAGUAACGGCGAGUGAAGCGGCAAUAGCUCAAAUUUGAAAUCUGGCUCUUUUAGAGUCCGAGUUGUAAUUUGUAGAGGAUGUUUCGGCUUACGCCUCGGUCUAAGUUCCUUGGAACAGGACGUCACAGAGGGUGAGAAUCCCGUUUGUGGCCGAUGGCUUCUGCCAUGUGAAACUCCUUCGACGAGUCGAGUUGUUUGGGAAUGCAGCUCUAAAUGGGAGGUAAAUUUCUUCUAAAGCUAAAUAUUGGCCAGAGACCGAUAGCGCACAAGUAGAGUGAUCGAAAGAUGAAAAGCACUUUGGAAAGAGAGUUAAAAAGUACGUGAAAUUGUUGAAAGGGAAGCGCUUGCGACUAGACUUGCCUACAGUUGCUCCAUCGGUCCUUCGACCGGUGUAUUCUUCUGUGGUCAGGCCAGCAUCAGUUCGGGUGGUUGGAUAAAGGCCUUAGGAAUGUGACUCUCUUCGGGGAGUGUUAUAGCCUUCGGUGCAAUACAGCCUGCCUGGACUGAGGACCGCGCUUCGGCUAGGAUGCUGGCGUAAUGGUCGUAAGCGGCCCGUCUUGAAACACGGACCAAGGAGUCUAACAUCUAUGCGAGUGUUUGGGUGUCAAACCCGUGCGCGAAAUGAAAGUGAACGGAGGUGGGAACCUUAGGGUGCACCAUCGACCGAUCCUGAUGUCUUCGGAUGGAUUUGAGUAAGAGCAUAGCUGUUGGGACCCGAAAGAUGGUGAACUAUGCCUGAAUAGGGUGAAGCCAGAGGAAACUCUGGUGGAGGCUCGCAGCGGUUCUGACGUGCAAAUCGAUCGUCAAAUUUGGGUAUAGGGGCGAAAGACUAAUCGAACCAU